rnacentral:rRNA from 1 species
CCUACGGGCGGCAGCAGUGAGGAAUAUUGGUCAAUGGGCGCGAGCCUGAACCAGCCAAGUCGCGUGAGGGAAGACUGUCCUAUGGGUUGUAAACCUCUUUUGUCUGGGAAUAAAACACGCCACGCGUGCCGUUCCGAGAGUACCCGAUGAAAAAGCAUCGGCUAACUCCGUGCCAGCAGCCGCGGUAAUACGGAGGAUUCGAGCGUUAUCCGGAUUUAUUGGGUUUAAAGGGUGCGGCGGUGGGAGGUCAAGUCAGCUGGGAAAAUGUGAGGCGCAAACCUAUACGAGCCGUUGAAACUGGUUUUCUUGAGUGAAUGAGAGGUAGGCGGAAUGCGUGGUGUAGCGGUGAAAUGCAUAGAUAUCACGCAGAACCCCGAUUGCGAAGGCAGCAUACCGGCGCUCAACUGACGCUGAUGCACGAAAGUGUGGGUAUCGAACAGGAUUAGAUACCCUAGUAGUC